ACCCGCACAAGCGGUGGAGCAUGUGGUUUAAUUCGAUGCAACGCGAAGACCUUACCUAGGCUUGACAUCCCUGGAAUUUUGUGGAAACACAAAAGUGCCUUUCGGGGAACCAGGAGACAGGUGCUGCAUGGCUGUCGUCAGCUCGUGUCGUGAGAUGUUGGGUUAAAGUCCCGCAACGAGCGCAACCCUUAUCUUUAAUUGCCAGCAUUCAGUUGGGCACUUUAAAGAGACUGCCGGUGUUAAACCGGAGGAAGGUGGGGAUGACGUCAAGUCCUCAUGGCCUUUAUGCUUAGGGCUACACACGUGCUACAAUGGGUGGUACAAAGAGAAGCCAACUCGCGAGAGCGCGCCAAUCUCAAAAAGCCAUCCUCAGUUCGGAUUGCAGGCUGCAACUCGCCUGCAUGAAGCCGGAAUCGCUAGUAAUCGCGGAUCAGCAUGCCCGCGGUCGAAUACGUUCCCGGGCCUU
rnacentral:rRNA from 1 species